GCGACUGUGGUGUAGCGGUAACACAGCGUGCAUGGACGUCAAUACAGCUUCAAUGACACAUCUCGCAGACCCCAGGUUCGACUCCUGGCAGUUGCU